GAAGCCUGUCAGUCUUUUUGCCGACACAAAUACCACAGCAGAGCAACUGGGGAAUGUGAAAAUGAUGACCUUUGUCACUGUGACCGGAGUGGCCGUGGCUGAACAUCCUGGUCUGAACUGAAUGGUCAUCCUGACAAUGGAUUCCAUAGCUGAUAAUUCAAAUCUGAAUCUUGAACUCAUUUUUCUUUAGGAGUAAUAAAAAUAUGGUAUACAUUAUCAUUAACAUCUAUUCUGUCUAAUUUACACUAACAUCUAUUACAAAGUAACAAACAAUGAAAAAAAAACUUUCUUUACUGAUAUUUCCUAUUCACAUUGACAGCAAAUAAGAAAGUGAGUUCUAAUUCAUCUCAAACCCCUUUCCUCCUUGCAUUGAAAAAAA